UACCAGCACCCCGAGUGGUCGGGACGAUUAUUGGGCCUAAAGCAUCCGUAGCCGGUCAUGCAAGUCCUCCGUUAAAUCCACCUGCUUAACAGAUGGGCUGCGGAGGAUACUACAAGGCUAGGAGGCGGAAGAGGCAAGCGGUACUCAGUGGGUAGGGGUAAAAUCCUCUGAUCCAUUGAAGACCACCAGUGGCGAAGGCGGCUUGCCAAUACGCGCUCGACGGUGAGGGAUGAAAGCUGGGGGAGCAAACCGG
rnacentral:rRNA from 4 species